GGGGAAUAUUGCACAAUGGGCGAAAGCCUGAUGCAGCAACGCCGCGUGAGUGAUGAAGGCCUUCGGGUUGCAAAGCUCUGUCUUCUGGGACGAUAAUGACGGUACCAGAGGAGGAAGCCACGGCUAACUACGUGCCAGCAGCCGCGGUAAUACGUAGGUGGCAAGCGUUGUCCGGAUUUACUGGGCGUAAAGGAUGCGUAGGCGGAUAUUUAAGUGAGAUGUGAAAUUCCCGGGCUUAACUUGGGAGCUGCAUUUCAAACCGGGUAUCUAGAGUGUGGGAGAGGAAAGUGGGAUUCCUAGUGUAGCGGUGAAAUGCGUAGAGAUUAGGAAGAACCCCAGUGGCGAAGGCGACUUUCUGGACCAUAACUGACGCUGAGGCAUGAAAGCGUGGGGAGCAAACA
rnacentral:rRNA from 1 species